CCCGGGGAGCUUAAGCAUUCGAAGAAGCGGAGGAAAAGAAACUAACAAGGAUUCCCCUAGUAACUGCGAGUGUAGCGGGAAAAGCUCAAAUUUAAAAUCUGGUGGUCUUCGGGCAUCGGAGUUGUAAUUUAGAGAAGCGUCUUCCGCGCUGGACCGUGCACAAGUCUCCUGGAACGAAGCGUCGUAGAGAGUGAGAAUCACGUCUUUGGCAUGGACACACCAGGGCUUUUGCCAUGCGCUCUCGCCGAGUCGAGUUGUUUGUGAAUGCAGCUCAAAAUGGGUGGUGAACUCCAUCUAAAGCUAAAUAUUGGCGAGAGACCCAUAGCGAACAAGUACCGUGAGGGAAAGAUGAAAAGCACUCUUGUAAAGAGAGUGAAACAGAACUUGAAAUUGUUGAAAGGGAAACGCUUGAAGUCAGUCGCGUCGUCUGAGACUCAGCCUCGCCUCGGCUUGGCGUACUUCUCGGCCCGACGGACCAGCAUCCAUUUCGCCUCUCGUAUAAUCGCGAGCGGAAAGUGACACCUUUACGGUAUGUUAUAGCCCCUCCUCGCAUGCGAGCUUCGGGAUUGAGGAACUCAGCACUCGCCCUCUCGCGUCGGGGUUUUCGCCCACGAUAUGAGCUUAGUAUGUUGGCGUAUUGGCUAUAAACGACCCGUCUUGAAACACGG
rnacentral:rRNA from 1 species